rnacentral:sRNA from 1 species
ACAUUUAGGUUUUUUCUUUUCUAUUAUUUGGCUUUAAGAGUGCGCAUCACUGAUUGACAAAAUGAGCAACACUAUUGCCUUGGUUAGGGCUGAUCAGCUGUCUUUGGCUCACUCUGCCGCAAUUAGGCGGGAACAAACUCACUGAUGUAUUGCUACAAUCCGAGUCGUCUCACGGUCUCCCGGCUUUGAUUUCCUGGGUCCUGAGUCCAGUUGGCCGAUUUCCUCCUUGAUGGUGGCGAUGAAUAGUUCCGCCUGUUGCUGCCGCUGGUUUGUAUUUUGCGCAUGCGCAUGCGGUCCCUUUUUUUCUCUUUUCUCCCCCCUUUUUCUUCUUAUUUUUCUGAAGAUGGUCCCCCAUCGAUAUCCCUCGCCUAUCGAUAUAUUUGCCGACCAUAACACCACACUACGGUUUCGAGGUUCAUUUCAGAGAAACAGGAGUGCAAAAGGAGACUAUCUUUGCCCAACGGAGGCCAUCGCCCACACCCUGGGAUUAAGAGCUUCAUGCUCUACCGACUGAGCUAGCCGGGCUCACACUGCAGCUGUAGGCCACAUCUGUGAUUUGGCCAAUCGGGAACUCCAGAGUACAUCUGACGACGGAACUUGGUACAGUGACUGGAGAUGUUCCAACCGGAAGAUAAAUUCCGCCACCGGCAUUCCCUUCGGGUCUCCGUCGAAGAUCAGGCCUCACCUUCGGAUGUGACUGCUCUCUUGCCUCGUAUCCCAACCGGAAGAUAAAUUCCGCCACCGGCAUUCCCUUCGGGUCUCCGUCAAAGAUCAGGCCUCACCUUCGGAUGUGACUGCUCUCCUGCCUCGUAUUCCCGAUGCUCGUGCGGUUUCCUUGAUAAUGUCCACUCUCAUUACCCGUUUGUUGCAUCCAGCACGAUACGGGAACUUGUCGUUGUUCGGCUUGUUUCUGAUGUUCCGAUUCCAACGCUCAUCGAGCGUGGAUAAUCAUCCACAAAAAGGUGAGUAGGUGCAGGUGGUCGAUUAAUUCUCGCCUCUCUCUCUUCUUUUCUAUUAUUUGGCUUUAAAAGUGCGCAUCACUGAUUGACAAAAUGAAGAACACUAUUGCCUUGGUUAGGGCCGAUCAGCUGUCUUUGGCUCACUCUGCCGCAAUUAGGCGGGAACAAACUCACUGAUGUAUUGCUACAAUCCGAGUCGCCUCACGGUCUCCCGGCUUUGAUUUCCUGGGUCCUGAGUCCAGUUGGCCGAUUUCCUCCUUGAUGGUGGCGAUGAAUAGUUCCGCCUGUUGCUGCCGCUGGUUUGUAUUUUGCGCAUGCGCAUGCGGUCCCUUUUUUUCUCUUUUCUCCCCCCUUUUUCUUCUUAUUUUUCUGAAGAUGGUCCCCCAUCGAUAUCCCUCGCCUAUCGAUCUAUUUGCCGACCAUAACACCACACUACGGUUUCGAGGUUCAUUUCAGAGAAACAGGAGUGCAAAAGGAGGCUAUCUUUGCCCAACGGAGGCCAUCGCCCACACCCUGGGAUUAAGAGCUUCAUGCUCUACCGACUGAGCUAGCCGGGCUCACACUGCAGCUGUAGGCCACAUCUGUGAUUUGGCCAAUCAGGAACUCCAGAGGUACGCACAUACAUCCAGUACCAGUCUUUAGCCUGCCCGUUCAUCAAUCCAUGGAAAUCCCUCAGUACAUCUGACCACGGAACUUGGUACAGUGACUGGAGAUGUUCCAACCGGAAGAUAAAUUCCGCCACCGGCAUUCCCUUCGGGUCUCCGUCGAAGAUCAGGCCUCACCUUCGGAUGUGACUGCUCUCUUGCCUCGUAUCCCAACCGGAAGAUAAAUUCCGCCACCGGCAUUCCCUUCGGGUCUCCGUCGAAGAUCAGGCCUCACCUUCGGAUGUGACUGCUCUCCUGCCUCGUAUCCCCGAUGCUCGUGCGGUUUCCUUGAUAAUGUCCACUCUCAUUACCCGUUUGUUGCAUCCAGCACGAUACGGGAACUUGUCGUUGUUCGGCUUGUUUCUGAUGUUCCGAUUCCAACGCUCGAUUAUCCACAAAAAGGGAUGAGACUACUUCCCUAAUUUCUCGCAUGAAACUUAACAGGCUGGCCUCCAUUGUCUCUUUAAAAGCGCUCAAUUCCUGGGACAGCGAUGCUCUGUAGGUCUCGUGCGCUUGGGCUACCGCUACAUUAAUAGCCGACUUCAGCUCACUGGGUAGCUCCACUUCGCUCCUGGUUUGUUGCGUUGAUGACGAGGUACCCGCUACAUCGUCUCGGCUACGCAUUCCGAUUAGAGAAGUACUCUCCAUUUCUUUGGUGGGUUUGGUAUUUUGUGUACGGGUAGUUGGACGCAUUUUCUCUUGCCCUCUAUCCCUCUGAAAGUCCCCGCUACGCCGCACUUUCCUCGACUGCCUGAAUACCCCUUCGCUCAUGUGAUUCUUAAUUUUCAAUAUGUUUCAACAUUCAACAAAAAAAACGUAUAAUUAUUUAAC